AGGUGGGGGCGGGGAGAGCAGGCUGGCAUUUCCCUAGGGCCCGAGAUCAGGGCUCCUUCCCCAGCAUGUGGGUGGGCGCGGGCAGCCCCGCUGCCCCGUGACAGGCCCCGGAGGGCUGCUUCUCCCCGGGUGUGCUCUGACCUGACUGGGGAAGAGGCCGGAGCAGCCCCGCCCCCAUUUGCCUCCUUCCUUUCCUGGGGAGACAAAGGCGGGCCAAGGCUUUGGAGGCACACAGAGUCGCCCCCGCCUUCCGGGUUUGUCCUUUUUAUGGAGAAUUUAAGUUGAGGGACAGCCCCUCCCCCCACCACAAGCCCUUACAAGUGGCUCCUGCCCCGCCUCUCUCAGCGAACAUGCGCACACGCACCUUCCCCCCCCACCCCACCCCCGCUCCCAGUUCAGUAAGCAGGAACGGGUCCACCGGUGUCUUCCCGGUCCUCAAAAGUUAGGGGGGAGAAAGUCUCAGCUGCCAGGGCGGGGAGGCCGGAGCGCCGCCACUCACUGACUCCCUCCCCUCCCCCUCUCAAGCAGCAAGGGUCCAAGAAGAACAGAGCUAACACACUGCUCCAGGCUGUGCUGCAUCCCUGGGGCUCUGGUGAAGACCAAGGCAGCAGCAGCUGGGGCUGUAUUUGCUCCAGACAGGAGACCCUCCGCCCAGCUCCUGGAAGAUCAUGACAGCCAAGGCUUGGCCCCAGUUUUCCUGUCCCAGCAGCGAGCACUGCUCAGAACCUCAGUUUGUGCCAGGUACAAAACAGAUCUCGGCUGCCCUCAGGGAACUUUCCUGUUAAUGGGGGAAGCCAGUGUAGAAGAGGGAGCUGAAGCGACUGGGAGUAGGGAAACAAGGAGAGGGUGAGGGGGAGUGAUGCAGGGAGUGGUGCUGCUGGUCUAUGGACAGUCAGAGAAACCUCCCUGCACGACCUUCAGACUGAAGUCUGUGUGUAGAAGCUGUGCUGGGCCUGAGGUGCUCUUUGGUACCUGUGGAGAACCUGGUGUCCACAGAGGGCUGUGUGCUCUGGUGAGGUGGACUGCUUCUUGGAGGGAAGGGCUGUAAGAACACGGACAUCACCAGUGGAGCUGAGUCUGUUUCUAUUGCUUUUCUGUAAAAAUGACCAAGAGGGGAUUCAGAGGGGAUUCAGCUGAGGGAGGACAGAGUCCAAAGCCUGAGGCAGGGUAGACAGAGCACUGUAUGGAGAGUCAGAUCCUCAUCAUGGCCUCAGCUCAGGACUCCCCAUGACUGCUGGGAGCAACCUGGUGCUUUGAAGUCUUCAGGAGUCUCCCCAGCUCCUGUGGCCAGAGGGACAGCUGAGGGCUCUACCUGGAGUUCUGUGGCCCAGAGAGAAGUUCUUGUGUCCUGGGAGGCUCCUGAGAACAAUGAACACACACAAGACAGCUCUGAUGGAACUAGGCAACAGCUCAGCUGAGAAAAAGGUUCCUGUAUCUUGUCCUAGAAGAAAUUCCCCAAAGACUAGAGUAGCCAUCUGGGGACUGGGAUGUGAUGGAGACUGCUGCUCCUCUGAGACCUUGCCAGAGUCUUUUCCCUUAGCACUGUAAUAAUUAAAAUAAUAAUAUUUCUACCCAGA